AAUUCCUCUAUGAAUAAAACCCUAGGGGCUGCCAUGCCUUAUUGCCCUGCGAAGGACUACAGAACUCGAAUUUAUUUCAGAAAUGCAACCAGAGCAAAUAGAAAAACACCAAUUGUAAAUUUUUGCUCGCAUGAUAUAUUUAUUCAUUCAUCUGCCCUUUGAAGGGAAGGACAAUCGGACUCUUGUAAUGUGAACACCAUUUAACCAUGGCGUAAGCGCUAUAAACAAUGUAACAGAGGCAUGGUAUAACUGCAAGAUGCAGAGGUGAAAACUAUUGGAUUUCUCAAAUCAUGGAAGGACCAGUAUACAAUGAUCAAUCACCUACGCUAUAUUAACAGUAUAGACUAACUGCACUUGUUAAAGGCCACAAAGGGCCACUACUGCAGCUCAACUUAACAGCAACAAUUUUUCUUUCCAUUAUACACUCUUCAUUAGGAAGUCAUAAAUGGCUUGGCCUCCUUUUACCAGCAUCUGUCCUCAACCUUUUUACAGGAUUUGCCCAACCAACAUUGCCG
rnacentral:misc_RNA from 1 species